UACGUUCCCGGGCCUUGUACACACCGCCCGUCAAGCCAUGGAGGCUGGAAGUGCCUGAAGUGCGUAACCGCGAGGAGCGUCCUAGGGUAAAGUCGGUAACUGGGGCU
rnacentral:rRNA from 1 species